AGAGUUUGAUCCUGGCUCAGGAUGAACGCUAGCGGCAGGCUUAACACAUGCAAGUCGAGGGGCAGCAUGUCCAGCAAUGGAUGAUGGCGACCGGCGGAAGGGUGCGUAACGCGUGAGCAACAUGCCCUAUACAGGGAGAUACACCAGGGAAACUUGGUCUAAUAUCCCAUAGCAUUCAUUGAAGGCAUCUUUAAUGAAUUAAAGCUUCGGUGGUAUAGGAUUGGCUCGCGUGACAUUAGCCAGAUGGUGAGGUAACGGCUCACCAUAGCAAUGAUGUCUAGGGGUUUUGAGAGGAAGGCCCCCCACACUGGGACUGAGACACGGCCCAGACUCCUACGGGAGGCAGCAGUGAGGAAUAUUGGACAAUGGAUGGAAAUCUGAUCCAGCCAUGCCGCGUGCAGGAAGACGGCCUUAUGGGUUGUAAACUGCUUUUAUACGGGAGCAAUAAGGGUUACGAGUAAUCCGAUGAGAGUACUGUAUGAAUAAGGAUCGGCUAACUCCGUGCCAGCAGCCGCGGUAAUACGGAGGAUCCGAGCGUUAUCCGGAAUUAUUGGGUUUAAAGGGUGCGUAGGCGGCCAUUUAAGUCAGCGGUGAAAUUUUGCAGCUUAACUGUAACAGUGCCGUUGAUACUGUUUGGCUAGGAUUUGGUUGUAGUGUGCGGAAUGUGUGGUGUAGCGGUGAAAUGCUUAGAUAUCACACAGAACACCGAUUGCGAAGGCAGCACACUAAGUCAUUAUUGACGCUGAGGCACGAAAGUGUGGGGAUCAAACAGGAUUAGAUACCCUGGUAGUCCACACUGUAAACGAUGAUAACUCGCUGUCGGCGAUACACAAGUCGGUGGCCAAGCGAAAGCAUUAAGUUAUCCACCUGGGGAGUACGACCGCAAGGUUGAAACUCAAAGGAAUUGACGGGGGCCCGCACAAGCGGAGGAACAUGUGGUUUAAUUCGAUGAUACGCGAGGAACCUUACCUGGGUUUAAAUGGGGAGUGACAGGCUUGGAAACAGGCCCUUCUUCGGACACUCUUCAAGGUGCUGCAUGGUUGUCGUCAGCUCGUGCCGUGAGGUGUCGGGUUAAGUCCCAUAACGAGCGCAACCCCUAUCGAUAGUUACCAGCACGUUACGGUGGGGACUCUAUCGAGACUGCCGGUGUAAACCGUGAGGAGGGUGGGGAUGACGUCAAAUCAGCACGGCCCUUACAUCCAGGGCUACACACGUGUUACAAUGGCCGGUACAAAGGGCAGCUACACAGCGAUGUGAUGCUAAUCUCCAAAUCCGGUCUCAGUUCGGAUCGAAGUCUGCAACCCGACUUCGUGAAGCUGGAUUCGCUAGUAAUCGCGCAUCAGCCAUGGCGCGGUGAAUACGUUCCCGGGCCUUGCACUCACCGCCCGUCAAG
rnacentral:rRNA from 1 species